rnacentral:rRNA from 1 species
AUUGAACGCUGGCGGCAUGCCUUACACAUGCAAGUCGAACGGCAGCGGACCUUCGGGUGCCGGCGAGUGGCGAACGGGUGAGUAAUAUAUCGGAACGUACCUUUCAGUGGGGGAGUAACGUAGCGAAAGUUACGCUAAUACCGCAUAUUCUGUGAGCAGGAAAGCAGGGGAUCGCAAGACCUUGCGCUGAUUGAGCGGCCGAUAUCAGAUUAGCUAGUUGGUGAGGUAAAGGCUCACCAAGGCGACGAUCUGUAGCGGGUCUGAGAGGAUGAUCCGCCACACUGGAACUGAGACACGGGUCCAGACUCCUACGGGAGGCAGCAGUGGGGAAUUUUGGACAAUGGGCGCAAGCCUGAUCCAGCCAUGCCGCGUGAGUGAAGAAGGCCUCGGUUG